rnacentral:rRNA from 1 species
GAUGAACGCUGGCGGCGUGCCUAAUACAUGCAAGUCGAGCGAACGGACGAGAAGCUUGCUUCUCUGAUGUUAGCGGCGGACGGGUGAGUAACACGUGGAUAACCUACCUAUAAGACUGGGAUAACUUCGGGAAACCGGAGCUAAUACCGGAUGAUAUUUUGAACCGCAUGGUUCAAAAGUGAAAGACGGUCUUGCUGCCACUUAUAGAUGGAUCCGCGCUGCAUUAGCUAGUUGGUAAGGUAACGGCUUACCAAGGCAACGAUGCAUAGCCGACCUGAGAGGGUGAUCGGCCACACUGGAACUGAGACACGGUCCAGACUCCUACGGGAGGCAGCAGUAGGGAAUCUUCCGAAAUGGGCGAAAGCCUGACGGAGCAACGCCGCGUGAGUGAUGAAGGUCUUCGGAUCGUAAAACUCUGUUAUUAGGGAAGAACAUAUGUGUAAGUAACUAUGCACAUCUUGACGGUACCUAAUCAGAAAGCCACGGCUAACUACGUG